rnacentral:rRNA from 1 species
UACGUAGGGGGCGAGCGUUGUCCGGAUUUAUUGGGCGUAAAGAGCGUGUAGGCGGCCAGGUAGGUCUGCUGUGAAAACUCGAGGCUCAACCUCGAGACGUCGGCGGAAACCAUCUGGCUAGAGUCCGGAAGAGGAGAGUGGAAUUCCUGGCGUAGCGGUGAAAUGCGCAGAUAUCAGGAGGAACACCGAUGGCGAAGGCAGGUCUCUGGGCCACUACUGACGCUGAGAAGCGAAAGCAUGGGGAGCGAACAGG